GCGCCCGUAGCUCAGCUGGAUAGAGCGCUGCCCUCCGGAGGCAGAGGUCAGAGGUUCGAAUCCUCUUGGGCGCGCCA
rnacentral:tRNA from 2 species